rnacentral:rRNA from 1 species
AUGAAUCUCCAUAAUAAUUGUCAGCAAGAACAGCUAUCGGGCUCAAAUUCUGCAAGACCGCAAACAUUUUGGACCAUCUGUCCAGCUUGUGACACCAAAUAUCAGUACCACCAUGCAAGUUCACAGAAAACUGUCCGCUGCCAAAGUUGCUCGAAGGCCUUUAUAGCACAUGUUUUAACUGACCAACCUGUUCCUUGUGGUCCAGAGCAAUCUGUGUGGAAAAAUGCAGGAGUAUUUUCAGAAAUUAGAUUGCUUCAGAAGUUCAAACCUGGGCAGAUCUGGGCUCUCUACAGUGACAUAGAUAAGUAUCCCAAUUGCUAUGCCUUAAUAGAGAAAGUUGAGCCGGAGAAUAAUGAAGUACGGACAAGAUGGCUUGAAGUUUGUCCCGAUGGAGAGUUGGAGAAAAUAUCUAUAGAAGAUCGAACUGUCGGGUGUGGAACCUAUAAGGUUGGCAACACUGAUGGUAUUAUGAUUUACACUGACAUGAAAUCCUUUUCUCAUCGUGUAAAUGCGAUAUUCACUGGUAGAAGGAACUCUUAUGAAAUAUAUCCUAGGAAAGAUGAAGUUUGGGCACUUCUGAAGGGAUGGGAUAUCGGUUGGAGUUCAGAUGCUCACAAUCAAAAGAAAUACAAGUAUGAAGUUGUUCAGGUCCUCUCUGAUUUCACAACUGGCACUAGCAUCACCGUCAUGCCGCUUGUCAAGAUAAAAGUCUUUGUUAGCUUAUUUAUGCAGUCUAAAGAGGCUACUCCAUAUCUGAUACGGCAGGAUGAUACAAUAUGGUUCUCGCAUUGUAUCCCGUACCGUUUGAUGGGUGCAGCUGAAAGUGAAGGUAUUCCAGAAGGAGCUCUCGAACUUGAUCCUGCUGCGCUUCCCCUUAACUUGGAGCAGCCUCAUGUUCGUGUUGUUUCAGAAAGCAGGUCGGUAAAGGGCUCGGAGUUUGAUGCCGCAUAUGCUGGUUCGUCCAGAGGAAAUAAGUCUCACAAGGAAUCUGAAGGGGUUGGGAAGAGGCAGCAUGCUACAUGCAUGAAUGCAGGGAUCUUUGCAAAGACAUCGGUGGUAGAGAACAGAGACCAUAACACUCCAUCUACUGUAGAAGGUAUGGAUGCUGCUGAAGAAUCUGACCACGUGCAAGCGAAAGUAUUAUGUCCUGAAUUUUUUGACUUUGACCAACUUCGAGAUGUAAGUCGGUUUAGACGCAACCAGAUCUGGGCUGUCUAUGAUACUAAAUGCUGUAUACCAAGAUUUUAUGCUCGAAUUACAAAGGUAACAAGGGCCCCAAAGUUUGAGGUACACUUUGUUUCGCUGGAAUUUGAUCCCAGAAAUAAAGCAGAGGUGGCAUGGUCACGUGGGGAACUGCCUGUUGCUUGUGGACAUUUUAUGCAUGGAGCAUCACACACAGCUAAAGAAACUAAGAUCUUCUCCCAGAUCAUUUCCUAUGAGAAAAGCAGGACAAGAGCCUCGUUUGAGAUAUAUCCUAAGAAAGGUGAAGUUUGGGCCCUUUUCAAGGGAUGGGACAUUGGCUGGAGUUCGGACACUAAAAACCACACAGACUUUAAGUAUGAAGUUGUUCAGGUUGUCUCUGAUUUCACGACAAGCACUAGCAUCAUUGCCAUGCCGCUCGUAAAAGUAAAAGGCUUUGUUAGCUUAUUUACGGGGUUGGAAGAGGCAACCCCGUACGUGAUACCGCAGGAUAACACACUAAGGUUUUCACAUUGUGUCCCUUACCGUUGGAUGGAGGGGACUGAAAGAGAUGGCAUUCCAGAAGGAGCUGUUGAACUUGAUCCUGAUGCGCUUCCCCCUAACUUGGAAGAUGCUUUUGCUUCUGUUGUUCCAGAAAGCAGUUACACUCAAUUUGCUGUAGAAGGUACUGAUGUUUAUGCGGAAUCUGAUGAUAUCAUCCAGGCAGAAUUUGAAUGUGCUGAAUCUGAAUUCCAUGAAUUUACUGAAAUGAGAUCGCUUAACAAGUUCGAACCUGGGCAAAUCUGGGCUCUCUACAAUGAUAUAGAUAGGUUCCCCAAUUACUAUGCCGGCAUAAGGAAAGUCGAUCUCAAGAAUAAUAAAGUACAAGUGAGAUGGCUUUAUGUCUCUCCUCGGGGAGAGGAGGAGAAAAGAUUGGUCAACGAAGAUCGCCCUGUUGGCUGUGGAAUCUUUACGGUUUUCGGUGAAAAUGAUGCUAUUAAGACUUACACUGGUACAAAAGCAUUUUCUCAUCCUGUAUGUAGUAGACCAACUGGUAGAGAGAAAGAAUUUGAAAUUAUUCCUCUUCCUCGUGAGAUCUGGGCCGUUUACAAGGACUGGAGGGCUGGAUGGACUGCGCGCGAUUUUAAAAAUUGUGACUAUGAAUUGGUGGAGAUAUUAACCCAUACGGACUCGUCCAUACAAGUUAAGCUGUUGAGAAAGGUGGAUGGUCACAGGACAGUAUUUAGAAGAGAGCCAUCUGUGGAAACGAUAUGUAAGGAUGAGUACUUAAAGUUCUCUCACCAGAUCCCUCGCUUCCAUCUGACAAAUGAAAAAGGAGGCAAGCUUCUAGGCUGUUUGGAGCUUGAUCCUUUCUCGGUGCCAGAGAGGUUUCUCGGCAUUGAUUCAGUGUGA